rnacentral:rRNA from 1 species
UACAGAGGGGGCCAGCGUUGUUCGGAAUUACUGGGCGUAAAGGGCUCGUAGGCGGCCAACUAAGUCACACGUGAAAUCCCCAGGCUUAACCUGGGAACUGCGUGUGAUACUGGAUGGCUUGAAUCCGGGAGAGGGAUGCAGAAUUCCAGGUGUAGCGGUGAAAUGCGUAGAUAUCUGGAGGAAUACCGGGUGGCGAAGGCGGCAUCCUGGACCGGCAUUGACGCUGAUGAGCGAAAGCUAGGGGAGCAAACGGG